rnacentral:rRNA from 1 species
GAAGCAAAGCCGCGAGGUAGAGCAAAUCUCAAAAAAACAAUCUCAGUUCAGACUGCAGGCUGCAACUCGCCUGCACGAAGUCGGAAUUGCUAGUAAUCGUAGGUCAGCAUACUACGGUGAAUACGUUCCCGGGCCUUGUACACACCGCCCGUCAAACCAUGAGAGUUGGCAACACCCGAAGUCGGUAGUCUAACCGCAAGGAGGACGCCGCCGAAGGUGGGGUUGAUGAUUAGGGUUAAGUCGUAACAAGGUAGC